rnacentral:rRNA from 1 species
CUGCGAAUGGCUCAUUAAAUCAGUUAUCGUUUAUUUGAUAGUACCUUACUACAUUGGAUACCUGUGGUAAUUCUAGAGCUAAUACAUGCUAAAAACCUCGACUUCGGAAGGGGUGUAUUUAUUAGAUAAAAAACCAAUGCCCUUCGGGGCUCCUUGGUGAUUCAUAAUAACUUAACGAAUCGCAUGGCCUUGCGCCGGCGAUGGUUCAUUCAAAUUUCUGCCCUAUCAACUUUCGAUGGUAGGAUAGUGGCCUACCAUGGUGGCAACGGGUAACGGGGAAUUAGGGUUCGAUUCCGGAGAGGGAGCCUGAGAAACGGCUACCACAUCCAAGGAAGGCAGCAGGCGCGCCAAAUUACCCAAUCCCGACACGGGGAGGUAGUGACAAUAAAUACUGAUACGGGGCUCUUUUGGGUCUCGUAAUUGGAAUGAGUACAAUCUAAAUCCCUUAACGAGGAACAAUUGGAGGGCAAGUCUGGUGCCAGCAGCCGCGGUAAUUCCAGCUCCAAUAGCGUAUAUUAAAGUUGUUGCAGUUAAAAAGCUCGUAGUUUGAACCUUGGGUCUGGCUGGCCGGUCCGCCUCACCGCGAGUACUGGUCCGGCUGGACCUUUCCUUCUGGGGAACCUCAUGGCCUUCACUGGCUGUGGGGGGGAACCACGACUUUUACUGUGAAAAAAUUAUAGUGUUCAAAGCAGGCCUUUGCUC